GACAGCAUGGUGUAGUGGUUUGAGCACUGGGCUAUGACUCUGGAGACCAGGGUUCAAAUCCCCGCUCAGGCA